GGCCAUGUAGCUCAGUGAUAGAGUGCUUGUCUAGAAUGCAUGAGUCCUUGGGUUCAGUUUCCAGUACUGCCA
rnacentral:tRNA from 1 species